AAUAACAAUAUCUGUCUCUUUGUGUGUCUAUGGGUUUGAGACCACUGCCAGGUGUUUGGAGUGCUGCUGCUGGCCUGUUUUCAGACAGAAGACUUGAUUUAUUUGUACCAGAGAUGCAGGAAAGAAAUGCAUUUACACCAGACAAUCUUCUUAUGUGAUGCUGCUCGUUUGAAACCAUGUUAUACGGCUGGUCUGGUGUGUGUCGAGGGAAACUUCAUCGAGUGAAAGGUGCUGGAGUUUAAUUUCACGCAGCAGACAGAAUAUAUUCUGUUUCCUUUCAUACUUUUAUCCACACUCUGACUAACAGACAGCUCUCUCUCUCUCAGCAUCUCUCUUUCUCUCUCAUCCCUGGAAUGACCUUGUAUAAAUGAGAGUGUGAUCACGAGUCAGCUGGGCUUUCAGCUCGCGGCAAAUACACAAACAAUCCCUCCCUCCACACACACACACACACACACACACACACACACACACACACACACACACACGGAAAUAGAAAGCUAGAGAUAAAGAGAGAGAGACAGGAGGAUCAAAAGAAAAACAAAGAGGGCAAACAGGUGGAAUUAGGAAGAGAAACAGCAAACUAUUCCUCAGACGACAGGAUUAAAGUGGAGCUGUGUUGGCUGAUAUCUUCACAAACAGACGGCGAGGAAGAGGAGGGCUUUUGGAAAGUUUAAUCGGGGACGCGUCCACCUGAUAAACUCGACUGUAGCUGUUCACGAACAAGCGCAGGUCUGUAAAUAAAGCAGGAGAUGAAUGGCGGCGGUCAGGAGUUGGGGUCAGCGCCGCCCACCGCUCCGCCCGCUCUCUCUGUUUCUGAUUUCUGAGUGCAGAUGAAGUUAGAAGAAGCUGCUGUGGGAUAAGAGCAGUGACCUCGGCCUCACCGUGUGUGUGUGUGUGUGUGUGUGUGUGUUCACAGAGCGAACUGUUCUUUAAAGAGCACACCCACUCCUUCUCUCCCUUCAUGUCGCUUGCUUUCUUCUGCUUCACACCCUCCAAGUGCUGACCAAAAAUAA
rnacentral:lncRNA from 1 species